UACGUAGGGUGCAAGCGUUGUCCAGAAUUAUUGGGCGUAAAGAGCUCGUAGGCGGUCUGUCGCGUCGGCUGUGAAAACUCGGGGCUCAACUCCGAGCUUGCAGUCGAUACGGGCAGGCUAGAGUUCGGCAGGGGAGACUGGAAUUCCUGGUGUAGCGGUGAAAUGCGCAGAUAUCAGGAGGAACACCGGUGGCGAAGGCGGGUCUCUGGGCUGAUACUGACGCUGAGGAGCGAAAGCGUGGGGAGCGAACAGG
rnacentral:rRNA from 1 species